ACGCUGGCGGCGUGCCUAAUACAUGCAAGUAGAACGCUGAAGGAGGAGCUUGCUCUUCUGGAUGAGUUGCGAACGGGUGAGUAACGCGUAGGUAACCUGCCUGGUAGCGGGGGAUAACUAUUGGAAACGAUAGCUAAUACCGCAUAACAGUAGAUAUCGCAUGAUAGCUGCUUGAAAGGUGCAAUUGCACCACUACCAGAUGGACCUGCGUUGUAUUAGCUAGUUGGUGAGGUAACGGCUCACCAAGGCAACGAUACAUAGCCGACCUGAGAGGGUGAUCGGCCACACUGGGACUGAGACACGGCCCAGACUCCUACGGGAGGCAGCAGUAGGGAAUCUUCGGCAAUGGACGGAAGUCUGACCGAGCAACGCCGCGUGAGUGAAGGAGGUUUUCGGAUCGUAAGGCUCUGUUGUAAGAGAAGAACGAGUGUGAGAGUGGAAAGUUCACACUGUGACGGUACCUUACCAGAAAGGGACGGCUAACUACGUGCCAGCAGCCGCGGUAAUACGUAGGUCCCGAGCGUUGUCCGGAUUUAUUGGGCGUAAAGCGAGCGCAGGCGGUUAGAUAAGUCUGAAGUUAAAGGCUGUGGCUUAACCAUAGUACGCUUUGGAAACUGUUUAACUUGAGUGCAAGAGGGGAGAGUGGAAUUCCAUGUGUAGCGGUGAAAUGCGUAGAUAUAUGGAGGAACACCGGUGGCGAAAGCGGCUCUCUGGCUUGUAACUGACGCUGAGGCUCGAAAGCGUGGGGAGCAAACAGGAUUAGAUACCCUGGUAGUCCACGCCGUAAACGAUGAGUGCUAGGUGUUAGACCCUUUCCGGGGUUUAGUGCCGUAGCUAACGCAUUAAGCACUCCGCCUGGGGAGUACGACCGCAAGGUUGAAACUCAAAGGAAUUGACGGGGGCCCGCACAAGCGGU
rnacentral:rRNA from 1 species